UUUAAUUGAAGAGUUUGAUCAUGGCUCAGAUUGAACGCUGGCGGCAGGCCUAACACAUGCAAGUCGAGCGGCAGCACAGAGGAACU
rnacentral:rRNA from 1 species